CGGUAUGACUCCUACGGGAGGCAGCAGUGGGGAAUAUUGCACAAUGGGCGCAAGCCUGAUGCAGCCAUGCCGCGUGUAUGAAGAAGGCCUUCGGGUUGUAAAGUACUUUCAGCAGUGAGGAAGGUGGUGUCGUUAAUAGCGGCAUCAUUUGACGUUAGCUGCAGAAGAAGCACCGGCUAACUCCGUGCCAGCAGCCGCGGUAAUACGGAGGGUGCGAGCGUUAAUCGGAAUUACUGGGCGUAAAGCGCAUGCAGGUGGUUUGUUAAGUCAGAUGUGAAAGCCCGGGGCUCAACCUCGGAAUUGCAUUUGAAACUGGCAGACUAGAGUACUGUAGAGGGGGUAGAAUUUCAGGUGUAGCGGUGAAAUGCGUAGAGAUCUGAAGGAAUACCGGUGGCGAAGGCGGCCCCCUGGACAGAUACUGACACUCAGAUGCGAAAGCGUGGGAGCAAACAGGAUUAGAUACCCUGGUAG
rnacentral:rRNA from 1 species